rnacentral:pre_miRNA from 1 species
UACAAUGUCUUGACUCUUCAUCUUAUUUAUAUUUUUUUGCGAUUAAUAUUUUUAUUUUUACUAGAUGAUAAAAUAUGAAUAGUAUUUUAUGCGUGACUAUUUUUUUAAGUUUUUUAACAAACUUUUUUCAAAUAAGACGAAUGGUCAAACAUUGGAUACGAAAAAAC